rnacentral:rRNA from 1 species
GUGUUUCAAGAUAGCCAUGCACGUCUAGUACAAACUAAAUGAUGGUGAAACUGCAAAUGGCUCAUUACAACGGUUAUGAUGUACCCGGGAGUUCCGAUGGAUAUUUCCAGUAACACUAGAACUAAUACAUGUCCCUGCGUUUAUUAGUUUCGCACAGUCCGUCGCUGAGUCAUGGUAAACAGUUGAUCGACUCGACGUCCCGGAACAGUUUCCGCCCCAUCAGCUUCGAUGGUUGGGUAUUGGCCUACCAUUGCAACAACGGGUAACGAGGAAUUAGGGUUUGAUUUCGGAGAGGGAGCCUGAGAAACGGCUACCACAUCUACGGAUGGCAGCAGGCGCGCAAAUUACCCAAUGCAGACACUGUGAGGUAGUGACGAGAAAUAAUAAAGCGGGACUUCUGUUUCGCUAUUAUAAUGAGGAAUAACCAAAGGUCAUUCCGAUUAGCAACUGAUGGGAAAGUCUGGUGCCAGCAGCCGCGGUAAUACCAGCGUCAGUAGCAU